rnacentral:rRNA from 1 species
AAGUCGUAACAAGGUUUCCGUAGGUGAACCUGCGGAAGGAUCAUUAGUGAAUUAAACAUGCUUGGUGUCUUCGCUUCGGCAAGGCCCUUGCUUAACUCACAUCCCAACACCUGUGAACCGUAAGGCGCAUGACUAGGUUCGCCCAAGUCAUCGUCUGCCCUUUUUAACAAACAAUUAAUGUAACAAACGUAGUCUUAUUAUAACCUAAUAAAACUUUCAACAACGGAUCUCUUGGCUCUCGCAUCGAUGAAGAACGCAGCGAAAUGCGAUAAGUAAUGUGAAUUGCAGAAUUCAGUGAAUCAUCGAAUCUUUGAACGCACCUUGCGCUCUUUGGUAUUCCGAAGAGCAUGCCUGUUUGAGUGUCAUGAAAAUAUCAACCUUGACUUGGGUUUUGUGCUCUAGUCUCGGCUUGGAAUUGGGUGCUUGCCGCUUUUACGAGCGGCUCACCUUAAAUGUAUUAGCUGGAUCUGUCUUUGAGACUUGGUUUGACUUGGCGUAAUAAGUAUUUCGCUAAGGACAUUCUUCGGAGUGGCCUCGUUUCUAGGACGCUUGUCCGCUUUCCAAUACAAGUUCCACCUCGUGGACAUGACUUUUUAUUAUCUGGCCUCAAAUCAGGUAGGACUACCCGCUGAACUUA